UACGGAGGGUGCAAGCGUUGUUCGGAAUUACUGGGCGUAAAGAGCACGUAGGCGGGUCUUUAAGUCAUCUGUGAAAGCCCGGGGCUCAACCCCGGAAUUGCAGGUGAAACUGAAGAUCUUGAAUACUGGAGGGGAUGGUGGAAUUCCUGGUGGAGAAGUGAAAUUCGUAGAGAUCAGGAGGAACACCAGAGGCGAAGGCGGCCAUCUGGCCAUGUAUUGACGCUGAGGUGCGAAAGCGUGGGGAGCAAAC
rnacentral:rRNA from 1 species